UACGAAUUGUGCGAACGUUAUUCGGAAUCACUGGGCUUACAGGGUGCGUAGGCGGCUCAACAAGUCAGGUGUGAAAGCCCCCGGCUCAACCGGGGAACUGCGCUUGAAACUGUUAGGCUCGAGUCAGCUAGAGGUACACGGAACUUCCAGUGGAGCGGUGAAAUGUGUUGAUAUUGGAAGGAACACCGGAGGCGAAAGCGGUGUACUGGGGCUGGUCUGACGCUGAGGCGCGAAGGCGUGGGGAGCGAACGGG
rnacentral:rRNA from 1 species